UACGGAGGGGGCUAGCGUUGUUCGGAAUUACUGGGCGUAAAGCGCACGUAGGCGGAUUGGAAAGUUGGGGGUGAAAUCCCGGGGCUCAACCUCGGAACUGCCUCCAAAACUCCCAGUCUUGAGGUCGAGAGAGGUGAGUGGAAUUCCGAGUGUAGAGGUGAAAUUCGUAGAUAUUCGGAGGAACACCAGUGGCGAAGGCGGCUCACUGGCUCGAUACUGACGCUGAGGUGCGAAAGCGUGGGGAGCAAACAGG
rnacentral:rRNA from 1 species